rnacentral:rRNA from 1 species
UGGGGAAUAUUGCACAAUGGGGGAAACCCUGAUGCAGCCAUGCCGCGUGUGUGAAGAAGGCCUUCGGGUUGUAAAGCACUUUCAGCGAGGAGGAAAGGUUGGUAGCUAAUAACUGCCAGCUGUGAUGUUACUCGCAGAAGAAGCACCGGCUAACUCCGUGCCAGCAGCCGCGGUAAUACGGAGGGUGCAAGCGUUAAUCGGAAUUACUGGGCGUAAAGCGCACGCGGGCGGUUGGAUAAGUUAGAUGUGAAAGCCCCGGGCUCAACCUGGGAAUUGCAUUUAAAACUGUCCAGCUAGAGUCUUGUAGAGGGGGGUAGAAUUCCAGGUGUAGCGGUGAAAUGCGUAGAGAUCUGGAGGAAUACCGGUGGCGAAGGCAGCUCUCUAAGCUACAUCUGACGCUGAGGCACGAAAGCGUGGGGAUCAAACA